rnacentral:misc_RNA from 1 species
GCUCCAAUUGAUUCACAAGAAGCUAUACAAAUUUCAAAAAAUUCUAAUUCAGUCUAGGCGACAGAACAUGAAAUGCAUUCAUUUAAUCCAAAAUGGAGAACUCUUUUUUUUUUGGCGGGGUUUGGUGAAGGAUAGUAGGAUACAUUUAUAAGUACUUUAGCAGUCACAAAAUUGAGAACAAUUGUUUUCCAGAUUAACAUUAACAUGCUUAAAUGGGAGGAAAAAUAUCAUUCAUCAUAUUUCCAAAAUCAAAAAGGGAUAAACUCAAACAUUCCAAUACUAGAUGGGAAAAACAGAUGAGGCAAAAGGCUCUUCAUCUAAUACAAUAUUUCAACACCACAAAUCGUAUCUUGUUAUAAAAUUCUAAAUAAACCCAGAGGAUUUUAAUUCAAAAACAAUAAACAUUAAAGGAAAGAAUAUAACGCGAUUAUAUGAGAUUUUAGCUUCAAUGCUUGUAAUAAUUUUUCGUGUAAAAAUAUGAGCACAAUCAGGCUUCAAGUAGGAUGUGGGAAAGCAGAAAUAAGUUAUUAGCUUUCCCUCAUUCCAUUCCUACACACAAAAGCAUCAAAGAAAAAAAAAACCAUGCCAGAAGCAACUAAAGGUGCAAGUACACAAACUCAGCAGCUCUUACUCAUUUAGCCACAGAUAAACAGACCAUAUCUACAUGGCCCAUUGCAAAGUAAAACAAUAUUCCUUAAAUAAUGAUCUGCCAACACACACACACCUCAUGGUAAUUAAGCCAGAUUGGAGUGUUCAAUGUAAGCUAAAAAUGGACCUCUUCCAUUCAUCAAACAGCAUAGCCAAAAACUAAAUAACCUUAACAGCCUACAUUUCUGGUUCUUCAACAACCCUGCUACAUUAGACAACUGAAAGUUCGGAGAAGUCCCACAACAUCUAAUACAACCAAGUUACAAUAUAUGAAUUCUAUUAGAGAAGGGGCUAAUUCUUUCCCACAGAAAUGUAAGUCACCACUAGAUUUAAACAAACUAACAAGAAAAUAUUGUCAAUGUCACACAUAUCUUAUUAUAUUGCAUUGUGCCCAAUUAUAAAUUAAGCCACCAUAAGAGGAAAGCCUUUGUUUUACGCAAUUAAAUGAAUUAAAAACGUG